UGAAUCUCUAGUUGUUAAAGAAUUGACCUCAUAGAUAUUAAGUUAUUCUCCACAAGUCAUGGAAAAGUUUAGAUAGUAGAGCUUUGCAUUAGAAAGUAAUUGUGUUGAUAAUUUCUUUCACAUAAAGAUUUUGGUGUUCUGGCUAGGUUUUUUUUGUUUCAAGGUUUAGAUGGAGACCCUGCUAAUGGCUGUCUAUGAAGAAAAUGAAAUUAUAUAUACCACAUAUGCUGUCAUGCCCAUGGCUUCCCUACAUUCCCAAAAUGUCCCUCCCUAGGCCUGUCUUCAGCUCAUCAAAAAGCUUCUUCCUAAGCCAAGUGGGCCUCCUGCCGAAACUCCUAGUCUUUACAUAGUGCCUUCUUCCUGCCUGAAUUCUCAAACAUCAAGAAGCUCUCCUGGGAACGCUUCGACCUUAUGCCUGUUCUCCUGGGAUUUUACCCUGCUGUUCUCUUUAA